AUUCGAUGCAACGCGAAGAACCUUACCCGGGCUUGAAUUGCAGGAGGACGAUACAGAGAUGUUGAGGUCCUUCGGGACUCCUGUGAAGGUGCUGCAUGGUUGUCGUCAGCUCGUGCCGUGAGGUGUCGGCUUAAGUGCCAUAACGAGCGCAACCCCUCUCUUCAGUUGCCAUCAGGUCGAGCUGGGCACUCUGGAGACACUGCCACCGCAAGGUGUGAGGAAGGUGGGGAUGACGUCAAAUCAGCACGGCCCUUACGUCCGGGGCUACACACGUGUUACAAUGGCCGGUACAGAGGGACGGUGUAAUGCAAAUUGCAUCCAAUCUUGAAAGCCGGUCCCAGUUCGGACUGGGGUCUGCAACCCGACCCCACGAAGUCGGAAUCGCUAGUAAUCGCGCAUCAGCCAUGGCGCGGUGAAUACGUUCCCGGGCCUAGUACAC
rnacentral:rRNA from 1 species